rnacentral:rRNA from 1 species
GUGGGGAAUAUUGGACAAUGGGCGAAAGCCUGAUCCAGCCAUGCCGCGUGUGUGAAGAAGGUCUUCGGAUUGUAAAGCACUUUAAGUUGGGAGGAAGGGCAGUAAGUUAAUACCUUGCUGUUUUGACGUUACCGACAGAAUAAGCACCGGCUAACUUCGUGCCAGCAGCCGCGGUAAUACGAAGGGUGCAAGCGUUAAUCGGAAUUACUGGGCGUAAAGCUCGCGUAGGUGGUUUUGUAAGUUGGAGGUGAAAUCCCCGGGCUCAACCUGGGAACUGCAUCCAAAACUGCAUGACUACAGUACGGUAGAGGGUAGUGGAAUUUCCUGUGUAGCGGUGAAAUGCGUAGAUAUAGGAAGGAACACCAGUGGCGAAGGCGACUACCUGGACUGAUACUGACACUGAGGUGCGAAAGCGUGGGGUGCAAACAGGAUUAGAUACCCUGGUAGUCC